rnacentral:rRNA from 1 species
UGCCUAAUACAUGCAAGUAGAACGCUGAAGAGAGGAGCUUGCUCUUCUUGGAAGAGUUGCGAACGGGUGAGUAACGCGUAGGUAACCUGCCUUGUAGCGGGGGAUAACUAUUGGAAACGAUAGCUAAUACCGCAUAACAAUGGGUGACCCAUGUCAUUCAUUUGAAAGGGGCAACUGCUCCACUACAAGAUGGACCUGCGUUGUAUUAGCUAGUAGGUGAGGUAACGGCUCACCUAGGCGACGAUACAUAGCCGACCUGAGAGGGUGAUCGGCCACACUGGGACUGAGACACGGCCCAGACUCCUACGGGAGGCAGCAGUAGGGAAUCUUCGGCAAUGGGGGCAACCCUGACCGAGCAACGCCGCGUGAGUGAAGAAGGUUUUCGGGUCGUAAAGCUC